rnacentral:rRNA from 1 species
UACAGAGGGUGCAAGCGUUAAUCGGAAUUACUGGGCGUAAAGCGCGCGUAGGUGGUUCGUUAAGUUGGAUGUGAAAUCCCCGGGCUCAACCCGGGAACUGCGUCCGAUACUGGAAGGCUUGAAUCCGGGAGAGGGAUGCGGAAUUCCAGGUGUAGCGGUGAAAUGCGUAGAUAUCUGGAGGAACACCGGUGGCGAAGGCGGCAUCCUGGACCGGCAUUGACGCUGAGGCGCGAAAGCCAGGGGAGCAAACGGG